rnacentral:rRNA from 1 species
CAAGUCUUGACAUCCCCCUGACCGGAACUUAACCGUUCCUUUCCUUCGGGACAGGGGAGACAGGUGGUGCAUGGUUGUCGUCAGCUCGUGUCGUGAGAUGUUGGGUUAAGUCCCGCAACGAGCGCAACCCCUAUCCUCAGUAGCCAGCGGUUCGGCCGGGCACUCUGGGGAGACUGCCAGGGAUAACCUGGAGGAAGGCGGGGAUGACGUCAAAUCAUCAUGCCCCUUAUGAUUUGGGCUACACACGUGCUACAAUGGCGUAAACAAAGGGAAGCGAGCCUGUGAAGGUAAGCAAAUCCCAAAAAUAACGUCCCAGUUCGGACUGCAGUCUGCAACUCGACUGCACGAAGCUGGAAUCGCUAGUAAUCGCGGAUCA